AAAAAAGGCUUCUGUUGUGAGUGGCACACAUAGGACAACUUGUUUGUUCUGUGUGUGGAAUCAACAUCAAGAGAUUUUGGAAGUAUAAUCUUUUGGUAACUUGGGCAGCUAGUGAUUGUUGGUCCUGGCGCCCUU
ensembl:snRNA